rnacentral:ncRNA from 2 species
UCAUUAUCAAGAGUGCAGAGUAGGGAACUAGCCCGAAGAUCCUGCCAGCAACCCUUUGAGAAGACUUCUCAAAGAAGGUGCUAAAUCUAGCCCGCAAGGGAAAAGAUAAAGG